rnacentral:rRNA from 1 species
UACAGGGGGGGCAAGCGUUGUUCGGAAUUACUGGGCGUAAAGGGUUUGUAGGUGGCCACUUAAGUCAGAUGUGAAAGCCCCGGGCUCAACCUGGGAACUGCAUUUGAAACUGGCGGGCUUGAGUAUGGCAGAGGGGGGUGGAAUUCCGCGUGUAGCAGUGAAAUGCGUAGAUAUCUGGAGGAACACCGAUGGCGAAGGCAGCCCCCUGGGCUAACACUGACGCUCAUGCACGAAAGCGUGGGGAGCAAACAGG